rnacentral:rRNA from 1 species
GAUGAACGCUGGCGGCGUGCCUAAUACAUGCAAGUCGAGCGAACGGACGAGAAGCUUGCUUCUCUGAUGUUAGCCGCGGACGGGUGAGUAACAAGUGGAUAAUCUACCUAUAAGACUGGGAUAACUUCGGGAAACCGGUGCUAAUACCGGAUAAUAUUUUGAACCUCUUGGUUCAAACGUGAAAGCCGGUCUUGCUGUCACUUAUAGAUGGAUCCGCGCUGCAUUAGCUAGUUGGUAAGGUAACGGAUUAGCAAGGCAACGAUGCAUAGCCGACCUGAGAGGGUGAUCAGUAGCACGGGAGCGAGGACGAGGACCCGACACCGACGGGAGGCAGCAGUAGGGAAUCUUCCGCAAGGAGCGGAAGCCUAUCGUAGGAACGGCGCGUGAGUGAGGAGGAUCUUCGGAGCGUGAAACUCUGUUAUUAGGGAAGAACAUAUGUGUAAGAAUCUGGACACAACUUGACGGUACCUAAACAGAAAGCCACGGCUAACUACGUG